ACUCCUACGGGAGGCAGCAGUGGGGAAUAUUGCACAAUGGGCGCAAGCCUGAUGCAGCCAUGCCGCGUGUGUGAAGAAGGCCUUCGGGUUGUAAAGCACUUUCAGUCGUGAGGAAGGUAGUGUAGUUAAAAGCUGCAUUAUUUGACGUUAGCGACAGAAGAAGCACCGGCUAACUCCGUGCCAGCAGCCGCGGUAAUACGGAGGGUGCGAGCGUUAAUCGGAAUUACUGGGCGUAAAGCGCAUGCAGGUGGUUUGUUAAGUCAGAUGUGAAAGCCCGGGGCUCGACCUCGGAAUUGCAUUUGAAACUGGCAGACUAGAGUACUGUAGAGGGGGUAGAAUUUCAGGUGUAGCGGUGAAAUGCGUAGAGAUCUGAAGGAAUACCGGUGGCGAACGGCGGCCCCCGUGGACAGAUACUGACACUCAGAUGCGAAAGCGUGGGAGCAAACAGGAUUAGAUACCCCUGGUAGCGACUGA
rnacentral:rRNA from 1 species